rnacentral:tRNA from 1 species
GCCUGGGUGGCUCAGUUGGUUAAGCGUCUGCCUUUGGCUCAGGUCCUGAUCCCUGGGUCCUGGGAUCGAGUCCCACCUCGGGCU